GAUGAACGCUAGCGGCAGGCUUAACACAUGCAAGUCGAGGGGCAGCAUGGAUGUAGCAAUACAUUUGAUGGCGACCGGCGCACGGGUGCGUAACGCGUAUGCAACCUACCUAUAACAGGGGGAUAAUCCGAAGAAAUUUGGUCUAAUACCCCAUAAUAUCUGAGAAGGCAUCUUUUCAGGUUGAAAGCUCCGACGGUUAUAGAUGGGCAUGCGUUGUAUUAGGUAGUUGGUGAGGUAACGGCUCACCAAGCCGACGAUACAUAGGGGGACUGAGAGGUUAACCCCCCACACUGGUACUGAGACACGGACCAGACUCCUACGGGAGGCAGCAGUGAGGAAUAUUGGUCAAUGGUCGAGAGACUGAACCAGCCAUGCCGCGUGAAGGUGACGGCCCUAUGGGUCUUAAACUUCUUUUGUAAGGGAGCAAUAAGUCUUACGUGUAGGAUGAUGAGAGUACCUUACGAAUAAGCAUCGGCUAACUCCGUGCCAG
rnacentral:rRNA from 1 species